CGGGCUGGAGCUCAGGGGUAGAGCACUCAACUAGCACAUGUGAGGUCCUGGGUUCGAUCCUCAGCACCAUGU
rnacentral:tRNA from 1 species